rnacentral:misc_RNA from 1 species
GAUGCUUUCAGGUUGAUCCACGCACCCGACCGAAAGGCUCCACUGCAUUUACGUCCAUGUUACAGGUUGCCUUUAUCACGAAACAGUAAAACAUCGUUUUUCCUUUAUGCAACAAUACCGUUUCUUUGUUUCUAUGGUCUGACGAAAAUAAUGUCUCGCGGUAGAGUUUUUAUUUUACUAAAGAACAUAUGCACUAAAAGAAGACGGUAUUAUAACUUUAUAAGAGGGAAAGUAGAUAUCGAAUGCGUUUCUAAAAUUUCUUACAUCACGGCGUAGAAAGUCCGGGCACAACAGGUCUUUCUGUAAUCUUGUCAACGUUUUGUAAUAAUUUCGAAAACACAGAGAAAACUAUAUGCCACGUGCCAGAGGUCUACGUAAGCACGAAGAUAACACCGAGCAGCUGCUUAUGCACGGUGCAGGUGAAGACAAGUAACGCAGAUGCUUCUUUUCAAAUAUGCUUUACAAUAAAACACAUCGACAUCUAAGCAAAUUGAGUCCAGAUUUCGUUGAAACUUUCCAUUAGAAGGAUGAUCCACAUGAUCUAUUUACUACACGACAUUCAUGAAGGAACAAUUACUUGUGGGUCAGUGGAAGUGUUCAGCCACAAGCUAUUUCGAUGACAGUAACCUAUAUUUCCACCGACUUUGCAGUGUCAAACUAAAGAUAGCAUCACGCAUCUAAAUUUUCAUUUCGCUGGACUAAAUUCCCACUUUUCUCGCGUCGCGCUGCUAUUCACCAUAGCCUUAAUAGUGUUGCGUGUGUUCCUUUACUUUUGCGCGUUAGAAAGUGCCAGGGAAAGUAAUACAUCAAACAAACAGGUUAAAGAAACAUAAGAACUGGUAUACAAAUACAUUUAAGAAUAACAGUCUUAAAGCAUUAAUAUAUUAUUAGAAUUAUUUUAAAUAAUACGAUGUCCGAUACCGAAGAGAUUAUAACCCUCAAAAGACGGAUAUUUCUGGCUGAUCAUUUUCACUUGUAAUUAAAACGUCGUUUUACGCAAGUUUCAAAGCUGUAUUAUAUUUUCUACACAAAGAGUAUAUAAGAAACUUUUAUCUCAUUGUACAUAACAAACUUUUUAUAUUUUCUUGGCGUAGCUGGGUUUAAAUAAACCCGUAAUUGUCAUGCGUGGGUUAAUAUCAUGUCCUUUACAGGUUACAAAAGUUUUCGAAAGAACUGUUCGUAAAAUAAUGCAGGUACAGAGAUGAUUCUACUUUCCUUCGACAAACUGGCACACCGCUUUCAGCUUCAGGUCAUGGAAUCAAUAGAGCGAGUGGUCGCGCGCAUCCCAUAGGGUAGAAACAAACUAAAGUUAAUACAAGAAACACAUUCAUUGCAUAUGGCGUAUGCAAUGUAUCAGAUCUACACACAAAAGUAUAGUGUGCAUCCAAAAAGACCUGACCUGCCCGUACCUUUUUAACUCGAUUGUAACCUGUUCGUUCCCAUCUUCCAUCGAUUCUACCUAUAGUAGCUUUUUCGACCGUAUCUGCUGCUCUAAAAUUGCGCUUAUGUGCCUAUCUACAGUUAGAAACUAAUCGCUAAAGGAUUAUCACAGGUCAGCGAGUGUUCAACCUUCCGUGCGCAUAGCACGGUUCAAUACCAUACUACAAAACGGA